UACGUAGGGGGCUAGCGUUGUCCGGAAUCAUUGGGCGUAAAGCGCGUGUAGGCGGUCCGGUAAGUCCGCCGUGAAAGUCGGGGGCUCAACCCUCGGAUGCCGGUGGAUACUGUCGGGCUUGAGUACGGAAGAGGCGAGUGGAAUUCCUGGUGUAGCGGUGAAAUGCGCAGAUAUCAGGAGGAAUACCGGUGGCGAAAGCGACUCUCUGGACGGCAACUGACGCUGAGGCACGAAAGCGUGGGGAGCAAACAGG
rnacentral:rRNA from 1 species